rnacentral:rRNA from 1 species
ACGGAAGGCAGCAGUAGGGAAUCUUCGGCAAUGGGGGCAACCCUGACCGUGCAACGCCGCGUGAGUGAAGAAGGUUUUCGGAUCGUAAAGCUCUGUUGUAAGAGAAGAACGUGUGUGAGAGUGGAAAGUUCACACGGUGACGGUAACUUACCAGAAAGGGACGGCUAACUACGUGCCAGCAGCCGCGGUAAUACGUAGGUCCCGAGCGUUGUCCGGAUUUAUUGGGCGUAAAGCGAGCGCAGGCGGUUUAAUAAGUCUGAAGUUAAAGGCAGUGGCUUAACCAUUGUUCGCUUUGGAAACUGUUAGACUUGAGUGCAGAAGGGGAGAGUGGAAUUCCAUGUGUAGCGGUGAAAUGCGUAGAUAUAUGGAGGAACACCGGUGGCGAAAGCGGCUCUCUGGUCUGUAACUGACGCUGAGGCUCGAAAGCGUGGGGAGCAAACAGGAUUAGAUACCCUGGUA